GCCGGGUGCGGUGGUGCACACCUGUAAUCCCAGGAGCUCAGGAGGCUGAAGCAGGAGAAUUGCAAGUGUAAAGCCAGUCUCAG
rnacentral:sRNA from 1 species